ensembl:lncRNA
CGGGGGGGACGGGGGCCCGGGCUUACUGGUCUUAAGCCCGGGUUGUUGUUUCAGAAGCCCGGGGUCUUUUGGAGUGUAAUUUGCUUUAUAGUUAGAUGCCUGACUGACAACUGUAUAAAACAAAAACUACACACAAUAUUCAAAGCACAUAGCGGACAGUCGUAAAUUCCCCCUAAUUUUGGUAUGAUCCGAGCUCAGGCACUAGCCGACUGAGCGCAGCACCCAUGUGAGCCAGGGGGGAGAAGCUGCUGCGAGUUUGCUGCAGACAGAGGAGAGCUUAAGUUCGACCAGUUAUGUACUGAUGAACAGAACAAUGGACAUAAGGAGCUUCUUUCAAAGACAAAAACUCAGCACAGAGAGGGAGAGAGAGGAACAGAGAGGAGAAUGAGGACAGAACAGAGAUGGAACAAGAGCCAGAUAGGUCAGGGGAAAUCAGGAAAGCGACAGAAAACCAAAACACAACAGCAUCACAGCAGGAAGCAGCAGGUGGAUCGUUAAGGACAGCUGAAGGAGGUUUACUGGAAGGAGCAGCAGGAGAUGAUUUAGGAACUCUAGGAAGUGGUCCAAGACAAACUGUCCUCACACAGUUUCCACUGAGCCAGUUUGGAGGCCAGCAGAGGGCGUUCAAUAAGAGUUGAACAGUUUAAAUGGUAGGAGUAUUCAGUUGUGACGAACUUUGCUUUCUUUUUUUCAUGUCGCAUUUUGAAAAGCAGAAUACUUAAAAAAAAAAAAAAAAAAAAGAUGGCCUCGGUCUUUCAGGGUUCUGCAACUGGAAGAGGGCUUUAGAUGCCUUUAGGAGUACGAAAAGAGUUCCAACUGUUCGUCGUCUAUGAUAAGCUGGCACAGCUUUAAAACCACAAAAAAUCAAGGUGAUGUUGUUGAGGAACUUACAUCAGCAAACAACACGACAGUAUCUCCACAGGAUCUUAGCUGUAACAAGUUUCCUUGGAAAACAAGGAAUACCAUUCUGUGGCCAUGAUCAGCAGGAAUCCACCAGUCAUCAUCAAGGGAACUUCCUUGAGUGCAUGAAGCUGCAGAAGAUUAUUUGAUCAAUAUUUCAAAAAUUACAGUCCUGUCUCACAUAUUAUCUAUCUGUCUCAUUUUUCACAAAAUGAGAUGAUAACCAGUAUUUCACAUGAAAUAACUGGAAAUAUAGUUAAAGAGAUGAAGGAAGCUAAGAUGUACUCUGUUAUGGCUGAUGAGGCUAGAGAUGGGCACACGGAACAACUUGCAGUUUGUGUAUGUUUUGUGUCAUGUAAAGGCCAUUUCAAAGAGUGUUUUCUUGGUCUACGGAAACUAGAAAGGUUUGCAGACCCUAUUGAGGAGCUGUUGCAGUAUUACACGCUCAGUGACUUACUUUGUGUUGCACAAUCCUAGUUCGCAGAAGUCGAGUCUACGGUAGUGCAGAGUCUACACUGUCUGUAGACCGUUACGUCUUUUCAUUGGCCCGGAGUCUACGGUGAACAUAGACACUGUAGACUCAGGUCAAUAGGAGCACCGAAUCCCACUGUAGACGACCAAUCGUCUGGUCAACGGAAGUUGCGUCACCAAAACAACAAAAUGCAGCGGAACAGCGAGGAAGCCGGCAAGUCCACUAUUUUUUAUGGAAACUGACAUUUCUUUUAUGUUUACGGUAAGUUAUCGACUCUAAGACACUCCUGGAUUUAGCUAAAGUACACGACGCUGAAUACCUAAUUUAACCUUUUUUAACUCCAAUUUCUAGUCCUGGUAUGGCGACACCAACGAUUUGGGUAGUUAAUCCAGAUGCCCCUGCACAUCAUCAGCUGGCACUACUUAUGGCAACCAAAGAGGUACGUUACUACCGGGUGAGAAGUAUGGUCUUCCCCAAACCUCCACAGGAGCUGCUCAGCCAAAUCACUGCAUUGAUUCACGCAGAGAAGCUUCUUCAAGCCGAGGGUAUCCACGCGCCUUCACGUCAGCAGUGCCUGGGAAAGCUGGUGGUGCCAUUUGGAUAAUAUGAAAAUGUGGGGGAUAUAUGAAGUAGUGAGUGUAUCAUAUAUUUAAUACCAUACUAUAGGCAGGUUUACUGAACUUCCAUUUACUGCACAUUUCCCCGUGUAAGGCAAUUAUUAGUAUAUCUUGUUCGUUGUAAACUUUCUUGUAAUAUUCACGGAGAUAUUGCUGACAGUAUGUAUGAUUCCAGCAUACUUGACAGGCACAGAACAGAGGUGACAAAUCCACAAAGAAAGGGAGAGAUAGGGAACCAGUGGGUGAAGGAUUACCUCACAGAAUAUGCAAGUCUCUGUAGUCCUCAAGGCCAACAUUGACAGGUGCAUCUAUGGUCAGAAAGGGUUUGAACAUCCCACCUUUCAAGAGAUGUGGGAAUUACAUUGUCAGUACAGCAGCCAAAAGGACGGACCUGAGAAGUUCAGUGAUGAGCAGAGGGAGGUCAUUCAGAAGGCACACAGUUCUGUGAAGAGGUGGUUGAACACACCAGUGACGCACAUCACAAGCAUCCAAAUGAAGAGGUUCAGAAAAUAUAUAAAUGACAAGGAACAAGUAAGUGCUAUGGAGGAGAACAGCAGAACAGGGCAGUAAGUGACUUAGUUAAAGAUAAUGAUAUGUGAUUAAUCUUGCCAAAGUGUGCAUGUGCAUUUUUUUCCAUCAGUCGCGGUACUCACAAUAAACUGUAUUGUUUAGCAACAGCUGACAAGUACCCCCAGGUGUGAUCCUUCAUUGUGGCCAGGUGAUGAUGCUGAACUGAUAGCUGCAUCCCAGUCUGUGGAAGAUUCACUGAAGUCCCAACACUCCUUGUCUGCAAGUCAACCUCUAAAGCAACGGCUGACAAGCAGAGGUGCUUCCUCCUCCCAGACGUCUGGAACACAGGAGAACUCAGCUCCCCUGUCCAAGGAGUUUGAGAACACUGUACAGUCACAUCAAAAUAAAGCUACUGUGCAGCCCAAACAUCGUGAGUCCACAGAGACUGCCGUACGGUCCAAAAAACUUGACACCAUUGGACUCACUGAGUCAUCUGCAUCCCAGGGUCAUGAUCAUACAACACAAUUACCGUUGAGUCAUUCACCUGUGGAGACUAAGGGAUGGGUGCGUCUCUGGGAAAAUCCCAAUGGUAUCCCAUCUGCUGACAUUUCCUGGCUUAAAGAGGACACUGAAAGAGGGCUGUUUACCCCUGUUCAGACAUACAAGGAUGUUACUGGUGUGUUAAAGAGGCGACGGGUGAUUAAAUCAGAUCGCAUGUGGUUUUACCCACCAGAACCUCCUGGCGUUGCGGUUGUUGUUGUUGUUGUUUUUUCCCGUACUCUUUACAACACAAUGAUCACGACAUUAUACUUCUUCUUCUAUCUUUUACAAAACCUUACAUUACAGUCAGAAUCAAGUUCACUGAUUGAUUGCAGUGCUGUCUUUGUGUUUUACUGAUUGAUUGCAGUGUUGUCUUUGUGUUUCACUGUUUCAUUCAUUUUAAUAAAGUGUUUUGUAUUACAGUAACAGUGAGUUGUGGAAUAACUUAAUGAAUGAAUGACUUAGACUUACUGAGCUUCUUUGAAUCAGCAUCACUAUAGCCCGAAAGGCACUGACAAAACAUACAAGCAUAAAUAAA